rnacentral:lncRNA from 1 species
UGGUUUGGAGUCUCGUACUAGCCUCGCCCUAUCUAAAACAAAAAGGCGGAUGGAAGAUGGACGACCUUCUUUCUUAAUGAGCUCUCUCGCUUGACUUUAUCGGUAUAGCAUUUCUUGCUAGAUUGGAUUGAGAGUGACUUCUUCCCUUCCUCUGUUUAUGUUUUCAAACAUUUCAUCGGUGUCGACAUUUUCUUCAUGUCAGCCAGUGUAGGCUUGCUCCGCACACAAAGGCUACAUCUGGGCCUUUCAUUGAUUUGACUUUUCCAUUCAUUUUUGAAUCCCUUCCUUCACUCCGGGCACGCUGUUUAGAUUUAUUUCGGUUGCCAAUGAAAUGGAAUAUGGGGAACUCUCUGUCUAAGUGGUUAAUCCGACGAGUCAAUUCUCAAUGUUAUGUUGCUAUCCUUUCGACGAUCCUACUUCUGAUGUCCCCCCCGCCUCUCCCUCCCAGUACCGUUCGACGAUCCUACUUCUGAUGUC